CAGAGUGUCCAUGUCCUUGGUGAAAUGAAACUGUACCAGGCGCGAGUUUCGGAACAGCGGCACCAGGGUGGUCAGCAGCUGCUGCGGGAUGAGCUGCAUGAACAGCUUCCGUGGCCACUGGUCUGUCCUCCUGCCACACCAGACAGCAGCAGUCAGUCAGGUCUCCCCCAGGGGCCUGUACCGCCCACUCGCCUGCCCACCCCACCCCACUCACAGGAUCUCCCCUUGGUUCACGUAGACGUGGGAUGGCAGCCACCUCUUGGACCGGCUAUUGGGCUCAGGCCUGGGCUUUGGGGCAAAGCAAGAGGGCACUUCAGCGGAGGGAAGGGAUGGGCCAACAGCCCACACCGCCCCCACAGCUCACCUCCUGCCAUUCCAUGACACCACUCCAUGCCAAGAAUUUGUUGUUGACAAUCUGAACAGGUCCAGAGUGCACGCCUCCAGGGCCCACGGCCUGUGGGACAGGAUACCAGCUGCUGCCAGCAGCUUCAACUCCUAACUUCCCACUAGCUGGCUGAAGCCCUGACCACAAUCCAAGCAGGCCGAGGCCCGGUCCUGCCCUCACUACCAAGAUAAGUCUCAGCCCCUGGGUGGUGUGGAGGCCCACAACUACCUUUAGCAGCUACCAGGUGAACAGACACAGGUCACCCUCCAGAGACUUUGGGCCUCUUGCCAACCCACUCCUGCUCUGCAGAGAAUUCCACACCCAGGACCCAUCCCCGGGUCAUCCCCUGUACCCUUCAAAACCUAUAAACUCCCUUUUCCCGCCAAGCCCUGUCUGGACAUGCCACUGUCUCCUCCCAGCACCCUGGUGCUCCUCCUCCCUGCCUUCAUCACACUCCAGCCAAGUGUAGAUGCUGUACCGCCUGUGGGGCCAGAGCCAGGCUGCACCCAGCUGGCACACCUGUUUGCGCGUGGUGAUGACCUGCCGUAUGGCAUUGACAAAGCCACUCUGGUCGUAGGGGAUGAGGCCCAUGAAGAUCUUCUUCUUGGAUGAGUACAGGAGCAUGAGCACGCGCACCUCGCAAGGAGAAAUGUGGGGGAAGAGCAUGCAGCCUGCCUGUGGGGACAGGGCUGCAGAUCAGGGCCUGGCCCUCCAACUCAACGUCUGACCUGCUCGGAUAGGCCAGGGCACCAAAACACGGCUCAACCAAGGUUUUCCCAAGAGCAGGGCAGAACUCUGUCCCACCCCACCGGCCCCCAUCCCCACUCACGAAGCCGUUGCCCAUGAUGCGGCAGAGGCCCUUGAGCGAGUCACAGUCUCUGUUGGUGAAGUGGAACUGGGCCAGCUGAGAGUUUCGGAAGAGGGGGCCCAGCGUGGCCUGUGGAUGACAAGGGCACCACUGAUCAUGGUAAGGCAAGCGUGGGAAGAUGCUGGGGAGCAAGUCUGGCUCUGGGGGCAGGGCGUGGGUUCUGGGGGCACAGUCCCACUGGUCUCACCAGCAGCUGCUGUGGGAUGAGCUGCAUGAUCAGCUUCUGGGGCCACUGGUCCGUCUCCCUGCAGUAGGGAGUGCAUCAGAAGCCAUUCCCUGCAUCCUAGUCUGCCCCGGGCUCUGCCCACUCCCACACUCACAGGUUCUCGCCCUGGUUCACGUAGGCCUGGCAGGGCAGGGUGCGCUUCAGCUUGGCUGUGGAGUCCGAGAAGGGUCUACGCUUCUGCAGGCGGGAGUGGGUGGAAGACUCAGCCCAGCGUCCAGGCCAUCCACACCCUCCACCAGCCCAGGCAUCUGGACCCAGCAAGGCUCACCUCCUGCCACUCCAGCACGCCACUCCAGGCCAGCAGUUUGUUGCCGAGCCGGUGCUCAUUCACUGCAAGUCCCCCAAGAGAGAGCCCAGGUGAAGAGGGCCCAAUAGGCCCUAGGGCCCCAAAAACUCGAGCACCUUCCUGCAGCAGAGAGGAGAAUUCUGAAGUCAUUCAAAGCUAGACCACUGCACACUUCCCAGUGGGGACAUACUUAGGUCCAGAUUCAGUCUCCAGGUACACACUCCAAGUCCCAAUCCCUUCCCCAGCAGUCAAAACCUCAAAACAACCAUCUUGGCAUUCUUGCCCUUAGUCCACUGUCAGAAAGCUGUAGGCUGCAUCCAGGCCCCAGUUCAGAACCACCUUAAGGCCACUGUCCCCCAAGAGAAGACUCCCACCAAGGACGGCUUUUUCUGAGAACCCCAAGGAGACAUAAACCAGACACCAAGUUAAAAGACCAUCCUGGAGAAAAAUGGGGAGACUCCCAGAGGCUACCCUGCACCAAACAUUUGACCCGAAUGCAUGUUUAACGAUAUUGCUAAGCAAAUCCACACAUCCUCCCUUCCCCCACCCCAGGGUGCAAGCUAAACUCUUCAGCUGAAACAUUUCCAAAAAAAACAAGCAAGGUCCUGGCCCAGCCUUUGAACAACAGACCCGUGCGUGCCUCCAGGCUGAAGACCCUUCUGAUAUUCGCGAAGGCAUCCGCCGCUCAAGUCUAAGCUCAUGAGGCCUUUUAUACCCUGCGUGAUGACAAACCAGAACGUGUUCUCCCAGCGUCUUAAGUAGACCAGCCUAGGUCUUCAGUUAACACUGCUGAGGGGCCUUCGUGAUGAGCAUAUCCCCGCAGCACCCAGCCCUCCACAUUACAGCAAACGGGCACUGGGCAGCCUGGCCUGCACUCGCGCUUUGGGACAACACUACAAGUGCUCACGCGUGUCAGUGUGUGAGCCACCACAGUCGGGCCUACAUGAAAAUCAGGCAAACAUACUUAAGCACUCAAAAGAAAUCCCAGACUAAGUUGGGGGUGGGGAGAACCACUGAAAUGCUUCUGAUUUGUUUUUGCCUGCACCCCACAAACACCUGUAUGCCCGCAACAGCAGGGAACACACUGGUGGUGAAGAGCAGUUAGGGACUCCGUUAAGCGUGGCUCCGAAGUUAAGUUCGCAUCCACGCAUGUCUGACUUGCUGUGGCAAAGCCAAGCCACAUUUGUGGGGAAGGGACGCAUCUGAGGACCCCAAGAAGCAGCUUCCAACAUUAAGGGAAAGCUUCAGGCCUAGGCUGCUGUGUUACAGCGAGGGGUGUGUCUGCGUUCCGCAGGUGAUCCGAGUGGCAAACCCGCCUAGGCUCAGCCGUGGACAACGUCAUCACAGGGUAUUGAAGCGGUCAGAGCGAAGCCAGGGAAUAGCUCAGAGCUGGCCAAGCAUGCGCAGGUGUGGCCACGAGUCAACCAUCACAAUGGGCAGUUUUGUUUCCCAAGAAAACCUCAAUGUUUCUAGAAAGUGCACGCACAUUAUAUUGUGGGCAGAGGUGACAGCCACACGAACCUACACAGCUGAAUGUUUACCUUAAGCCUUCCUUACCUUAAGGCUUAAGGUCUGGGCUCGCCGCGGGGCAGGCGCGCAAAUAGAGGGGACUGUCCACAGUCGCCAUCUGGCCCCGGGGGACAACGCCCCCGCGAGCAACAGCUGGGCGCGAGUGUAUACGCCGGGCUCCUCGCCUAUUUCCAGACCCGGAGGCCGAGACCAACUUUACAAUUGGAAAAACAGGCGCUCACGCCAGGCGACCCCGAGCGCGUGUGCAGCCGAACGCGCGGUCAGCAGUAAUUCGAACCCGCCCCGCCCCCGUACCCCGCCCCCCGCCCAGGCCGCCGCGCAACAAAGGGGAGCGGACCAGAGGCUGAUCCGGGACUCCGGGUGCGCCCUCCCGCGGGAGACCCGUGGGCACUGCGGACAAAGGCGCUCGCCAUAGGAGGGGCGGCAGGGCGGGGCGUGCGUGGAAGGCUCUGGAAGCAGACCCGGGGACUCACCAUGGGAGGGGCCGAGCGGGCCCGGAUCCGCGGGGGCUGCGGGCCUCGAGGACCGGCGGGCCAGGAACGCGAGCGCACGGCGCGCACGACCAGGGGCCGCGGUGGCCGGCCGCGACCUCCGAGGGGGCCCCCGGCACCGGAGCGGUGCGGGGCACGGCGCGGGCGGACCAUGGCGAGCAGGAGGCCGUGGGCCUCACGGGUGGCUGCGGGUCCGCCGACCGAUAGGCGCGGGAGCGCGGCUUUAGGAAGACGCGGAGCGGGACCGCGGCGGCGGGGGACGCGCCGCUGAGGGGUCGCCGAGGCCGAACCACUGCAGCGAGCGGGGGAGCCCGGCGCCAACCAACGCGGAGCGAGAAGGGGGGACCGGAGCCGACCAACGCGGAGCGAGGGGGAGGUCGGCGCAAACCAACGCGGAGCGAGAGGGGGAGCCGGCGCAAACCAACGCAGCACGGAGAAGUGCGCUGAGAAACACUGAUGGAGCCGUGAGGGGGGUGUGUAACUGGAGCCAACCAAGGUCAGAGGGAGGAUUUCAGACUUGGAAAUGUCAAGACUUGGAAAUGACAAGAGGGAGAAACUGCAAUAAAAUUCGAGUAGGUGGGACGAUACCAAGUCCUCUGCUGGGGGGAACAGAAGGCAGUAGACGGGCUAAUGGGCCGCGCGACGGAACCUACCAAUAGAGCGAGGGGUGGAUGAAAGGACCGGCGUAGGCGGUGACGUGGCAUGGUGCACAAAGGACUACAACUCCCAGCUGCCCUCGCGCGGCCUAGGCGGGAUCUGGAGGCCGGGCCUAGCCUCUUGCCCCUUCGCUCUGGGCUCGCCUACUGUCCCUUGUGCCUUAUAGCAGUUACCAACUCUGGAAGGACUGCGCAGGGGUAUUUCCUGCUUCGGUUUUUCACCUGUGAUAUUACCUAGCCUUAGUGUACCUGAGCUCAAAUUAACUCAUUGUGAUAAGUGCUUCACGCCGUAUCUACUCAAAUGUUACCUUAUGUAGCCCCGGCUGACCUCGAGCUCCAUCCUGUCUCCUCCUUUAUUGGGAGUAUGCAUCGUCACACUUGGCUGUCGAGCUAGUAGGGUACUGAGAGUUGAACUUGAAGCCUUUGGCGUGCAAGGAAAAGCUCUCCCUUGCCUUCUUUUAAACAAGAAAACCUAUUGGUAGUCUACCGUGUUCUGCCUAAAUGAUCCAUACACUACUUUCACCAAUUUAUGCCUGGUCCCUCACAGCACAUACCACAAGCUAACCAGAACAAAUGCCCUGGGCAGUAGGCUAGCUUUAUUUAAUGUUGUGUUUUAUAGUUGAUUUUAAAAAAAAAAAAAGCUAGGAGGGGAGCAGCAAGAGAGCUCAGCUGGUAAGAGUCCUUGCCUGCCUGCCUGCCUGCCUGCCAUGAAGCAUGACAAUCUCACUAACCCACACGAGGAGCAAACCGACCCCUGCAAAGUGUCCCCUGAGCCCCACACAAGUCCCAUGGCAGAUACGCACACAGUAAUUCAGAGCCUGCUUGGACUAUAAAGUUCAAAACCUAACUGGACAGCUAACUUAGCAACGGCCUCGUCUCAAAAAAAUAAAACGACUGGGAGAACCCAGAAGUAAUGGCACACAGCAGUAAUCAAGAGGUGAAGGGACAAGGACCAGGAGUUCAAAGCCAGCAUCAGCAAGCAACCUAGUGAGACCAAAGCCAGCCUGGACUACACAGGACUGCCUCAAAAGGAACAGCAAUAACUAGUCUCGGCAGAGCCAAAGCUGACUGGGGACUGGUGGAGGGCGCAUGGCUGCAGUGGGGUUGGCAGCAGUCAGUGGCAACAGCUGGUUUUGAAAUUUUGGUCUUACAAAUCCCAAAGGAUUUGUAAGAGAGAGUGGGAUACAGGAUGACAGACAAAGCCAAGGUUGCCCUCACUGAAGCAGAAGUCAGACUGAAGAACAGGUGAGGCAGAGCUGUCUAGGGGGAACAGUUUCUUAUUUUUUAAGUUUUAUACUUUUGUGUGUGCAUGGGUGUUUUGCCUGCAUGUAUGCAUCUAUACCUUGUGCUUGCCUGCCUGGUGACUGUACAGGCUAGAAGAAAGUUUAGUAUCCCCUGGGACUGGAGGUAAAGGUGGCUGGGAGCCACCAUGUAGAUGCUGGGACUCAAAUCUGGGUCUACUUCCUCUGCCACCUC